rnacentral:lncRNA from 1 species
AACUUUUUGCUUAGGUAAAUUUCAUGCUCUUCUCGACAAGACUCAUCAUGCUGACCCAGUACACACCUCAUAGACCCCUCGAGGGCUGUCAAGUACCAGAUUAAGAGUUGUUCCUUCCACGGAAGGCAUCAGAAUCAGAGGUUCCUGCAACUUAUUCUUUUAUCUUUCAAUGCCCCUUGGCAAUCAUUAUCCACCUGACCGUUUGCUCUUUUUCCGUUUGCUUUUUUCGGUUCAGGCCUUUCUUGCAUUGCUUUUCCCUUUUC